CAGGGAUUGCCUCAGUAACGGCGAGUGAAGCGGCAACAGCUCAAAUUUGAAAUCUGACCCCCUCGGGGCCCGAGUUGUAAUUUGUAGAGGGUGUUUCGGGCGCGGCGCCGGUCUAAGUUCCUUGGAACAGGACGUCAUAGAGGGUGAGAAUCCCGUAUGUGACCGGCGAUCAAGCCCAUGUGAAGCCCCUUCGACGAGUCGAGUUGUUUGGGAAUGCAGCUCAAAAUGGGUGGUAAAUUUCAUCUAAAGCUAAAUAUUGGCCAGAGACCGAUAGCGGACAAGUAGAGUGAUCGAAAGAUGAAAAGCACUUUGGAAAGAGAGUCAAACAGUACGUGAAAUUGUUGAAAGGGAAGCGCUUGCAAUCAGACCGGUCCGGGGGCGAUCAGCCGCUGCUCGUCAGCGGUGCACUCGCUCUCGAUCCGGCCAGCAUCGGUUUGGGCGGCGGGAAAAAAGUCCCGGGAAUGUAGCUUCUUUCGGGGAGUCUUAUAGCCCGGGUCGGCAUGCCGCCCGCCUGGACCGAGGACCGCGCUUCGGCUAGGAUGCUGGCGUAAUGGUUGCAAGCGACCCGUCUUGAAACACGGACCAAGGAGUCUAACAUCUAUGCGAGUGUUUGGGUGUCAAACCCGGGCGCGGAAUGAAAGUGAACGGAGGUGGGAACCCGUCAGACGGCGCACCAUCGACCGAUCCAGAUGUUUUCGGAUGGAUUUGAGUACGAGCAUAGCUGUUGGGACCCGAAAGAUGGUGAACUAUGCCCGGAUAGGGUGAAGCCAGAGGAAACUCUGGUGGAGGCUCGCAGCGGUUCUGACGUGCAAAUCGAUCGUCAAAUCUAGGCAUAG
rnacentral:rRNA from 1 species